GACACGUGGUAUCCUGUCUGAAUAUGGGGGGACCAUCCUCCAAGGCUAAAUACUCCUGACUGACCGAUAGUGAACCAGUACCGUGAGGGAAAGGCGAAAAGAACCCCGGCGAGGGGAGUGAAAAAGAACCUGAAACCGUGUACGUACAAGCAGUGGGAGCACGCUUAGGCGUGUGACUGCGUACCUUUUGUAUAAUGGGUCAGCGACUUAUAUUCUGUAGCAAGGUUAACCGAAUAGGGGAGCCGAAGGGAAACCGAGUCUUAACUGGGCGUUAAGUUGCAGGGUAUAGACCCGAAACCCGGUGAUCUAGCCAUGGGCAGGUUGAAGGUUGGGUAACACUAACUGGAGGACCGAACCGACUAAUGUUGAAAAAUUAGCGGAUGACUUGUGGCUGGGGGUGAAAGGCCAAUCAAACCGGGAGAUAGCUGGUUCUCCCCGAAAGCUAUUUAGGUAGCGCCUCGUGAAUUCAUCUCCGGGGGUAGAGCACUGUUUCGGCAAGGGGGUCAUCCCGACUUACCAACCCGAUGCAAACUGCGAAUACCGGAGAAUGUUAUCACGGGAGACACACGGCGGGUGCUAACGUCCGUCGUGAAGAGGGAAACAACCCAGACCGCCAGCUAAGGUCCCAAAGUCAUGGUUAAGUGGGAAACGAUGUGGGAAGGCCCAGACAGCCAGGAUGUUGGCUUAGAAGCAGCCAUCAUUUAAAGAAAGCGUAAUAGCUCACUGGUCGAGUCGGCCUGCGCGGAAGAUGUAACGGGGCUAAACCAUGCACCGAAGCUGCGGCAGCGACGCUGAUGCGUUGUUGGGUAGGGGAGCGUUCUGUAAGCCUGUGAAGGUGUGCUGUGAGGCAUGCUGGAGGUAUCAGAAGUGCGAAUGCUGACAUAAGUAACGAUAAAGCGGGUGAAAAGCCCGCUCGCCGGAAGACCAAGGGUUCCUGUCCAACGUUAAUCGGGGCAGGGUGAGUCGACCCCUAAGGCGAGGCCGAAAGGCGUAGUCGAUGGGAAACAGGUUAAUAUUCCUGUACUUGGUGUUACUGCGAAGGGGGGACGGAGAAGGCUAUGUUGGCCGGGCGACGGUUGUCCCGGUUUAAGCGUGUAGGCUGGUUUUCCAGGCAAAUCCGGAAAAUCAAGGCUGAGGCGUGAUGACGAGGCACUACGGUGCUGAAGCAACAAAUGCCCUGCUUCCAGGAAAAGCCUCUAAGCAUCAGGUAACAUCAAAUCGUACCCCAAACCGACACAGGUGGUCAGGUAGAGAAUACCAAGGCGCUUGAGAGAACUCGGGUGAAGGAACUAGGCAAAAUGGUGCCGUAACUUCGGGAGAAGGCACGCUGAUAUGUAGGUGAAGCGACUUGCUCGUGGAGCUGAAAUCAGUCGAAGAUACCAGCUGGCUGCAACUGUUUAUUAAAAACACAGCACUGUGCAAACACGAAAGUGGACGUAUACGGUGUGACGCCUGCCCGGUGCCGGAAGGUUAAUUGAUGGGGUCAGCGCAAGCGAAGCUCUUGAUCGAAGCCCCGGUAAACGGCGGCCGUAACUAUAACGGUCCUAAGGUAGCGAAAUUCCUUGUCGGGUAAGUUCCGACCUGCACGAAUGGCGUAAUGAUGGCCAGGCUGUCUCCACCCGAGACUCAGUGAAAUUGAACUCGCUGUGAAGAUGCAGUGUACCCGCGGCAAGACGGAAAGACCCCGUGAACCUUUACUAUAGCUUGACACUGAACAUUGAGCCUUGAUGUGUAGGAUAGGUGGGAGGCUUUGAAGUGUGG
rnacentral:rRNA from 2 species